GCAAGUCGAGCGAAGCACCUUGACGGAUUUCUUCGGAUUGAAGCCUUGGUGACUGAGCGGCGGACGGGUGAGUAACGCGUGGGUAACCUGCCUCAUACAGGGGGAUAACAGUUGGAAACGGCUGCUAAUACCGCAUAAGCGCACAGUACCGCAUGGUACCGUGUGAAAAACUCCGGUGGUAUGAGAUGGACCCGCGUCUGAUUAGGUAGUUNGUGGGGUAACGGGCUACCAAGCCGACGAUCAGUAGCCGACCUGAGAGGGUGACCGGCCACAUUGGGACUGAGACACGGCCCAAACUCCUACGGGAGGCAGCAGUGGGGAAUAUUGCACAAUGGGGGAAACCCUGAUGCAGCGACGCCGCGUGAGCGAUGAAGUAUUUCGGUAUGUAAAGCUCUAUCAGCAGGGAAGAAAAUGACGGUACCUGACUAAGAAGCCCCGGGUAACUACGUGCCAGCAGCCGCGGUAAUACGUAGGGGGCAAGCGUUAUCCGGAUCUACUGGGUGUAAAGGGAGCGUAGACGGCAUGGCAAGCCAGAUGUGAAAGCCCGGGGCUCAACCCCGGGACUGCAUUUGGAACUGUCAGGCUAGAGUGUCGGAGAGGAAAGCGGAAUUCCUAGUGUAGCGGUGAAAUGCGUAGCUAUUAGGAGGACACCAGUGGCGAAGGCGGCUUUCUGGACGAUGACUGACGUUGAG
rnacentral:rRNA from 1 species